UACGUAGGCGGUCUGUUAAGUCAGAUGUGAAAGCCCCGGGCUUAACCUGGGAAUUGCAUUUGAUACUGGCAGACUAGAGUAUGGUAGAGGGGGGUAGAAUUCCUAGUGUAGCGGUGAAAUGCGUAGAUAUUAGGAGGAAUACCAGUGGCGAAGGCGGCCCCCUGGGCCAAUACUGACGCUGAGGUACGAAAGCGUGGGUAGCGAACA
rnacentral:rRNA from 1 species